CAUACACACUUGGGAGAGACUCUGCAGCACAUCCUUGGCUGAGCAGAUCAGAGGUUCCACUUCCCACCCUUGGAAACUUCAUGAGGGGAAGAUGUUCAAACAUCCCUUCAGUCCAGUAAGUCCUCUUAGAGAACCGUGGUUGUAAUAGAUCUACAGAAAGAGAUGGAUGAUUCAAAAGCAGUCUCUUCAAAGUAAGACAUCAGUCUUCUCUUGGGGCCUAGAGUACCAAAUCACAUCAGGACAACACAAGGAGAGUCCUUGGCUCCUUUAGAUUGUAAGCAGAUGUGUUAUCUGGUGCCUCCUGCUUGAGGAAAUGCAAUGUUUGCAAUCUUCACAUGCUCACGUCAUCACAGAAGUAUACUCAAGAGACAUCCCCAAAGGCAGUAGUUUUCUCACUUCCGUUGUUGGCAUUCCUACUUUCCUGCUUCCCACCUUCUGUGUUGUUCUCGUCCAGGAGUGACUUUGCCUCCACAGAUCUGACCUUUGUUGCUUCCUGAGGCCAUUCUCACAGAGCUCUAACUUUCUGCGUGGUUUUCUACCAACUGGAGUUGACCUAGUGAUGUCCGGCAAUAACAGUGUACAGUGCUCUUCCCAGAUGGCAUUUAUUCUUUAAAAACUUUUGUUGAUGUUCACAAGGUGAAGAAAUGACGACUGUGGGCCACACCAAGUAGGAGGUUAGGCCCAUAGUAGGCCCCACACAAAUCGUGUCAUGGGUUCUCAUUCCUACAAAGAUUCCUGGAUUCUAAAGCUCUUUUUUUUUCAAAAGAUGGUCCCUGUGUGCUAUUCCUCCUUUCAAUCCAAUUCAGCAAAAGUCUUGCAAGUGGUCACAGAACCACGUGCUUAACACAUCACCGAGCCAGGGGCUGUGGAGGGAUUAAAGAAGCGUGCCUCGGCCGAGGCACCCGCUGGUGCAGGUGAGACUCCACUACACGUGACACAGCCACAACGCAGCAGGAUCAAACUCGUAAUUGGGCAGUAAACUCUGGGGCAGAGCUGACAAUACUGCACACGUUCAAAGAGGGAUAAAUCAUUGUGAAUGGCUAUUCUGGAGGACUGAGUGGGUUCAGAGUGAGCAGGCAGAAGGGGAACGCCAUUCAGGGUAUGGAAAAUGUGCUGGGAUGUUGGAGGCAUCAGAGCUAACCUAAAGGUGAUGCUCUGAGCUAUCUCUAAGUACCGAGUAAAAGGCUGCCUCUUUUGCAUUUUGUUCUGCAUCCUUGGAUGACCCCUAAGGGAAAGGUGAGACAAGAUGCCAUUUGCUCAUGAGCAGGCCGUCAGCAGUCAGUGCUGGUCAUCUCAAAGCCUGGUUCUCCAGGCACAGCAUGAGCAAAUGUCUGUCAGAAACUUGGGAAGUGAAAUAUCUCCAAAUGAUCAAGUGCCCAAAGUCAAGGUUCAGUCCUGGGUAGACCAGUCAGCUCUGCCUGUUUCACGACAUCAGUCUGCGGCACUAACCUCAGGCCACCUGUUCUAUGUUAGUCAUAAGCCUGAACAAGAGCAUAAAUGGAUUAUGACGAAUCUGCUACCACCAUUAAAAAAUCCACAGUUCAAUACUGGCUGUGUUUCCUGAUGUUGUGUUGGCAAUCUCAAAGCUUUUUUUCUUUUUUGUCAGUUUGUUUUUGUUUUUAUAGAGCACAUCAUUAAAAUAUACUCACAACAGCAGAAGAGCGUAGUGGCUGUGUGUAGGCAAGAGGCAAACUGCCUGGGUUAAAAAUCCCAGCUCUUCUCUUAGCUGCAUGACUUUUGGACAAGCUCCUUGAUGUCAUUGUGCCUCGGGUUUUUUUUUUUUUAAUUUGAAAAAUGAAGAUGAUGAUGGUAAUAUUUCUGUAAGAUUAUUUUGAGGAAUAAAUGAGAAACUAUAUGUAAAAGGAAUAGAAGAAUGCCUUGGUGUAUAUAUAUAUGGGGCAUGCAAUAAAUGCCAGGUCAUCACUGUGAUGAUGGUCAUUAUUCACCCUGAAUGGACCUUAGAGGGCGUCAAGUUACAUAAUGCAAUUUUACAAAUAAAGAAACUCGGUUCUCAAGAGGUCAAGUAACUUUCUGACAAUCAUUGGUAAAAUGGGUGCUAGAACCCUUGGCUCCCCACUCGUAAAAAAUACAAUGUGCAUUUAUGUGUUAUCUGACUCACGGACAGAGCACACUGACACACAUUGUUCCCCAAACGCUCCCUGUUACCCCACGUGGCCUAUCCAAACUGAAUGGCUCGAACAUUUUUCAGGCACCCGAGGAUGCAAGCUGCACAGGGAACGAUUCUCGGGCACAGGCUUAGGGUUGUAGGAGCUGGAUUCAUCAGCCUGAAGUCCACAAGGCAGGCAGUCAGGAAGGAAAAGGAGAGCAAGUGUAGCUCCAGCUGCUUCUUCACACCAGUGAGGUGGGUCACUAGAUGGGCAGCAAUGAGGUAGUACCCACAGACGGCCGCCAUCAGAGAUCAUGGCAGAGAUGGGGAUUAUCUUUAAAGUAAGAAGGAAGCUUUUCUUUCCUUGAAUGAUGAAUCUUUUAAUGCCUCAGAAUCAUGGAUCAGACAGUUGGGAGGUGCCUCACAAGACCCAGUCCUCGAAGAGACUUAAUCAAAUGGUGGCCCCAGGUGCAGCUGCUGUGCCAGAUGUGGUUUUACUGAAGCAUGCAUGCCUCCAGUACGUGUUAUGUGGCCAUUGAUCUGGUGAGUACAUUCUUUUCCAUCCCUAUAGGAAAAGAGGAUCAGAUGCAGUUUAUAUUUUUGUGAGGUGGACAAGGGUAUACAAUUAUGGUCUUGUCUCAGGUUAUGUUAACACUUUGACCCUCAGGUAUAAUAUUGCUAGAAGGCAGGUGAAGUGUCUGACAUCCCACAGGACAUCGCACUGGCCCACUAUAUUGACAAUGUUAUGCUAAUUGGACCAGAUAAGCAAGAAGUACCAGCUGUGUUGAAAGCCUUGGCAAAACAGAUGCGCUCCAGAGGGUGGAGAUGAACGCUUCAGAACCCCAGCACAUUACUGAACUGUUUAGGGAUCCAAAGUUCUGAAGAAAGCUCGACCUUUUCAGGUUCUAGAGGGACCAUAUUCUGUACCUGGCAACACUGCUCUGACCCAUGUAUUGGGGAAUAUUAAAGGUUGUGAACUUUGAGUAGUGUCUCAAGCAGGAAAGCUCAGCGGAAGGACUAGGCUGCAGUAAAGUGGUCUUGACAUUUGAACCAUAUGACCAGGAGACACUAUAGGGCUGAUAGUAUCUGUGUGAAUAGAGUUUAUGGAAAGCCCCAAUGGAAGAAUUGCAAUGUAGACCUAUGGGGUUCUGAGUAAGGUCCCUGCCAUCUGCAACAGAGGACUAUCACCAUCAGGACUCAGUGACUGACGUGCUAGUCGGCCUGGUAAGUACAGAGCUUCUGACUAUGAGAGACCAAGGACGUUGUGGCCGCAGUAUCCAUCGUGAGCUGCGUUCAGUCAAAGCCACCAAGUCGUAAGGUGAGGCUUUCCAGCAGCAAUCCAUUCUAAGAUGGAUAUAGUGCAUCCAAGAUGGGAACAAGCAGGGCUAGAGAGCUAACAAGCUAACCAAGCAGGUGGCCCAGAGCCAAAUGCCAUCCAUCAGAGUUGUGUCAGUGUAUCUCCCACAGCUCACAUCCGUAGCCUAACGGGAGGCCUUUAUAACCAGAUAACAGGGAAGUAGAAAGGCCAAGCUUUAUUUAUAGGGUGGCAACAAUGGGCAGUGUUGAGGGGACAUCCUCUAGGUGGGAAGAAUUGUGAUAUUAGGUGCCAUUGCUCAGUAACUAUGUGUAGAAAGAGAAGUGGCCUGAGGGCAGAGUAAGAGAAACUCAUGGGCAGUAGUGAGUGGCAUGGUUGGUUGGUCCAGGGUCUGGAAGGAGAAAGAUUGGGAAGUCAGAGACAAAGAGGUCUGGGAAAAGGCAUAUUGGAUAAUCUACGGAAGUGGUCGGGAAGUGUGAAGGUUUUUGAACUGCAUGUUAAUGCUCAGCAGAGAACUUCUGCUGUGGAAGAGAUACUGAACAAUGAGACAGCAUGACUUGGUCAGCUGGUGAAAGCCAUUGGACACUCUGGUGCUGGCACAAUGGAUGCGUGAACCAGACAGUCACGGCAACAGGCGUGAAUGCUAAGCAUGGGUUUCCAUUCUUAAGGCUGAUCCAGUUACUGCUUCUGCUGAAUGGGCCUUGGAGACAGCUGAGAGCUUUGGAGAUGAGCUAAGAACUUUGAACAAACAGUCUAGAUUAUCGAUUAUUCUCACAUUUAUAGUGUGUUAGCUUUUGGAUACCUUUGUGUGCCCACAAAUAGUGCUGUGAGUGAUAUAUUUCUCUGUAAGCCAAUCUGACUCUGCAGUAAAACAGUUUUCUCAAGUGCUCCCGGUAAGAUCAUAAAGAAAGCCUUUUGCCUUCGUAGGAAGCAGCAAACGCAAGACUGUGUCUUGACAGCAAGAGCAAGAAUGCACCGGCUAAAGAAGAGUCAUUAAGAAUAAAGGCUGUACUAAAACUACACUUGAAGAUGUUACACCCUUGUAAAUAAAAAAAUUCUAAGGAAUCCACCAAAAAAUUUUAGAGCUUAUUCAGCAAGGUUGCAGGAGACAAGAUGAAUAUAUGAAAAUCAAUUGUAGUUCUAUACACAAAUAAUGAACAAUCCAAAACUGAAAUUAAGGAAACAAUUUCAUUUAUAAUAGCAUCCAAAAAUAAAAUACUUAGGAAUAAAUCUAGCAGAAGAAGUGUAAGACUUUUAAGGCCAAAAACUCCAAAAUACCAUCAAAAGAAAUUAACGAUUUAAAUGGAAAUGCGUUCCAUGUUUGUAGAUCAGAAGACUUAAUAUUAAGGUGGCAAUAACUCCCCAAAUUGAUUUACAGAUUCGACACAAUCCCCAUUCAAUUCCAGCUGCAUUUUUUUUGCAGAAAAUGACAAGUUGAACCUCAAAAACCCCAGAAUAGUCAUAACAUCUUGACAAAGAAAAAGUUGGAGGACACACGUUUCCUGACUCCCAAAUUUACCACAAGGCUACAGAUACUACAAAUAAACACCAGCAUGAAGAUAGACAUACAGACCAGUCAAAUAGAAUUGAGGGUUUAGAAAUCAAGCCAUACUUUUAUGGUCAGUCCAUUUUUAACAUGCGUGCCAAGACAAAUCCAUGGGGGAAGAAACAUCUUUUCAACAAGUGGUGGGACAACUGGAUAUCCACAUACAAAAGAAUAAAGUUGGACCCCUAUCUCACACUAUAUAUGAAAAUUAACUCAAAAUGGAUCAGAGGUCUAAAUGUAAUAGCUAAAAUUAUAAGACACUUAGAAGAAAACACAGGCAUCAAUCUAGGUGACCUUAGGUUAGGCAGUGGAUUUUUAGGUAGCAACAAAACAGCAAAAGAAAAAAGAUAAAUUGGACUUCAUCAAAAUUUUAAACUUUGUGCUUCAAAAGAUACUAUCAAGAAAGUGAAAAGAAAAUCAUACAUAUUGUAUGAUUCCAUUUAUAUGUAAUGUUCAGAAUAGGCAAAUCCAUAGAAACUUAAAAGAGAUUAGUGGUUGCCAAGGGCUGGGGGUCAGGGAGGAAUGGAGAGUGACUACUAAUGGAUACAGGAUUUCUUUCUUGGGUCACGUAAAUGUUCUGGCAUUGGAGAGCAAUGAUCGAUGCACAACUUUUGGAAUAAGAACUAUUGUACUGUACACUUUAGAGGGGUGAACUUUAUGGCAUGCGAAUUAUAUCUCACUAAAGCUGUUAUUUUCCAAAGAAGGAAGAGCAGGAGGAUGGACGUGGAAUGUGAACAUUAGGCUGAUUCGCAACUGAGUCUAUGAAUAUGCGUCUAGACUUCUGCUGCUCCCACUUCUUAGAACGCUUCCCCACCUUUCUGCCUAUCCAUGUCUUCUACUUCUAAUGUAAACUCUGCCUGGCUCAUGACUGUAUCUAAAAGCAUUACGGUAGUACUAUGCCCUGGUUGCCCAUCAAGGAAUUCAGCUAGGAAUCGACUGCAGUCGGUACUUGCUAGAAGUGCACGUAAGAGGUGCUAUUUGAAAGAGACAGUCUAAUGGGCAUGUUAACCAGCCAUUCUCUCUGCUGCUCCAAGCUGUCACUGUAAUAAAUUAUAUCAUCAGAAACAACCUGGGUACCUGGGCCACAUGACCUAACCCAGGCACAGGCGUUUUGGUGAUGAGCCAUAUUACGAUAUUCUCUGCUUUUCUUUUUCUUUUUUUAGAGGAUCUAUAUAAGAAAUAUCUGUGUGAAUGGCUUAUCUAUGUCUGCCACAAACCUACAAUUGAAAACCUUUUGUAUUAGAUUACCUAAUGACCCUUAGGUAAGGGCCUGGAUGAUACAUUUCUCUGUUUCCAGGAAGAAGUUUGCUUCUGCAGGCGAGUGGUAUAAAUAUUUCUUUUUCCUUUCCUUCGCUUCUCUUCUAAAUAUAGGAACUACUGAAUGCGAUAAAAAUAACCCCCACUUACUGAUCAUGUACUGUGAGCCUACCCCUGCCCGUUACAUGCUAUGCUUUAUUUGACCAUCACAGCAUCCUAUGACAGCCACACAGGUAUUGCUCCUUUUUCACAGAUGUGCAAACUGAAAGGGAUUAAAUGACACAUCCCGCCUCUAACAAUUGUUAAGUGACAGAGGUGGGGAUUUGAAGCCAAGCAGCCUGACACCAGAAAGCAUGCUAAGUCCAGCUUCUGUUUCACUUAGCUGUAUAGCCGCCCCCAAGUUUCAUAAUAUAAGUCAUCUGCAAAGGUUUUUGAAUAAGGGAGUCUACAUACUAAAUACAUGUUUGUUUAAUUCCCCGUGUCUCCUCUCUGAAAACUCUCAACAAAUAACGUUGAUUCAUUCCUCCAAGUUUGUGAUCCUUGGAAGAAUGACCCUACAUAAAUUCUGGUGGCUGUUUUUAUUAAUGAUGCAAAGGUAGUCAUCGCACAGGCUGCAGGAGAGGGGGACAGAACUGAAAACAGAAGUAAUUCAUUUUUUUUUCUUAGAUUAGGUACCCAGAGGUGGUAUGGCACCUUAGCAGUCUAAAGUCAGGGGCCUCUGGGUGCUUGGACCUUGCUGCUGUGAAUUUAAUCAUCUCAUCUGAUGUAUGUUUCUGUAGAGUGACAGAAACUCCCGGUCCCACUUCGGAACAGAUUUACUCUGAUCGGCUUGCGGGGAAAAUAUCUUUACUCAACCAGCAUGAUUCAGCUGGUCUGUGGGGCUGCUUGUCUGUAAACACAUUCCCAGGCAAGCUAGCUCAGCCCACAGAAUUUUGAUUUGGUUGUUUCCUUUCUUUUUCCUCUGAUCUCUCCUUUCUCUUCUUAGACUACUGGUACAGAUGGGCCAGGCAUCUGCCUCCCAGCUGGUUGAGAGGUUAAAGGCUAGCGGAGGGCCAAGAUUUUCUUAAGUGAGGUCUUCACCUCCUGGCCAGACAUCAUCAACCUUUGGCUUCUUUAGCCCCUGUACUUCCCAGGAGGCUUCUGAUUUUAGCAUCCUGAGCACUGCAGGAAGAUGACAGGCAUCCUAUCCAAGGACCAUGCUCCUCCAAGGAUGGUCUUCAGGCCAGCAGCAGAAGCAUCACCUGGGAGCUUCUGACAAGUGCAGAAUUGAGGCGCACCCAGACCUGCUGAAAUCAACUCUGCAGAAGCCAAGUCUCUGGUCUGCUGUUUUGAUCCAAGCUCUUGUACACCAGAUACUCCAUCACUGUCUUGGAACAGAGGAGUCAGGUAUCCAUCACAGAUGAGGAGCUUGAUAUAAACCCUGCAAAGGAAGCAGUCGCUGAACCAGAAAUAGGCAGCCAGUACCUGCGUUCAUCCCGAGAUCAUCCCGUCACUCCGGAUUUCCACACAAAAAGCCUUCUGGGAAAUCGUAAAGAAAGAAAUGCCUGAGGCUGCGUACCUACCACGGAUUUCAGGGUGAGCAGCAUGCGUUUCCUCCAGGAUGGGUCGAACCAGCUGCCCAGGCGCAUGUCGUUGCUGAUGAAGAUGGAGUGCACCUCGAUGCGGCUGUCCCGCUUCUGCAGCAGAGGUGGCGUCCCUGCAAGCACCCUGAGAGCGCAGACACGGCAUUCUUCACCAAUAUAAUCUCAGAAACUAGCGCUGUUCCUGGUGCCUGGGGGAAUAUCUGGGUCGGCCGACUGCUCACCUGACUCCUCAAACUGCCGGCUGUGCGUCGCCCAGGAGUCCUGGAUCUGCAGCAGGCUGUCCUCCAUGGCCUGGAUGUCGGCGUCGGGACAGUUGCACUGCGGGAAGGUGGGGCUGCACUCGCACCAGCAGUCAUUCUCCCUGCAGACGAGCUCGCCCUCGGAGCUGCACGUGAUGUAGCUGAGCGCCGCGGCCACGAAGCGCUCCCGCAGGUAUGAAAAGCAUGAAAAUCAUCACAGCAAAACUCACCAAGUAACUGCACUUUGUUCUCCGGACUCUGGACCAGGACAGAGCUGACCGAGUCCAGCUCCAGGCACCUCUGCUCCGCAGCAAGCACACGCUCCCCAGUGUUCCAUCCCUUUCUGUGAGUAUCUGGUUCAAGCCUGGGUCCUCCGCACCCUAAGGGCUCCACAGAGGUAAACUGGCCAUCACACCAUCACCACACCGUUCUGCACUGGCUUUUCUAUCCACCCCUCCUGAGUUGGUGACUCCCAGCAUCAGGUCCAGGCAGGGAGAAAGCUACGUGCCUUAUGCAGAAGCAGGGCCACUUCCAAGGGGGCCCUCUCCGCCCUUAUCCAACCACUGUCCCUACCGAGCGACCACUGAGCCAUCUGCUUCCCCCACCACCACCAUCUUGUUCAGCAACAGGUACAGGGUGAGCUGACUAACCAGAAGAAGUACCAACCGCGGUGCCAAAGCCGGGUCCUGACGGCCUCGCGAG